rnacentral:rRNA from 1 species
GACGAACGCUGGCGGCGUGCUUAACACAUGCAAGUCGAACGGAAAGGCCCUGCUAUUGUGGGGUGCUCGAGUGGCGAACGGGUGAGUAACACGUGAGUAACCUGCCCUAGUCUUUGGGAUAACUUCAGGAAACUGGGGCUACUCCCGGAUCGCAGCUCCCCCUGCGUGGAGGGGGUGGGAUAGUUUCGGCGGUUGGGGAUGGAUGAGCGGUUUAUCAGCUUGUUGGUGGGGUAGUGGCUUACCAAUGCUUUGAAGGGUAGCCGGCCUGAGAGGGUGACAGGGCACAGAGGCAUAGAGGUGCCGCCCAGACGGCUACGGGGGGAAAGGGUGGAAAAUAGUGCAAAAUAUGCCGAGUGGGGAUGGAGGGACGCCGCGUGCGGGAGGACGGCCUUCGGGUUAGAAAAGCCUUUCGUUAGUGACGAGGCGUGCGUACGGGUAAUAAGUAAUAAGCACCGGCUAACUACGUG